CUUAUAUUUUGAUCUAUAUUCAUCUCAGUUUGGAACACAUUAUCUGUUCAAAUAAUAUCUCAAACUGUAUCAUAAAUUCUUCCUAAUUAUGAAUGAGCUCCAAAUCAUUGCAUAUUGUAGGUGUAAGUGAUAACACAAUCGUACUGACUGCACUUUACUUAAAAGAAGGGGGGAAAAACGCCCAAGUCCACACCACUGUUUUUUUUUUUUUUUUUUUUUUCCAGACACGUACGCUUCUUCACUUUUAAAGGACACUGCACAUGUCUAAAUGAAUGCUUCCUGCUCAUGCAGGAAGUAAAAUACAGCAAUUAGCAUGCUGCCUCUCCACAUGUCUCUUAGCUAAAGAUAAGACGUGCUGGCAGCACAGCAGGCCUCUAAUUCCCUCAUUCAGUUGUCUCUGGUCUCACUGAUUAUGGAUCUAUCCUGUAACUUAACCUGCAUCUUUCUCGCAGCAAGACAGCCGUCCAAUGAACAGCCCUUCCUCCACACAUCUCUUCUUCCUUUCUUCCUUCCUAAACAACUUCCUUUCAGCUGCUUGUCUUUGAAUCCGGGCUACGCUUCACAUCUGGCAAAAAACAAUCCCGAGCGGUUUAAACAAGAACAACAAGAAGCAGCACGAUGCUCUUGAUACGAUAUCAAGCUACGAGCAUAGAUGCUUGCGAAUAUAUCUGCUGGAGAGACAUGGCGGGAGCUUUAAGGAGGAGGCUGAGGUGAAAAUCACAGCAUGGCCCAAGGCGAGCAACACCACAACACACGGAAACAUUUUGCCCCCUGAUCUCUGCACCCUCAGAAGGAGUGGUGGGAUGCUCCAGGGCAAGGACGGCUCUGCAGGAGGAAAAGUAUGGAGAGGUCAACACUUAAGGUUUCCUCUGCAUCUUGUUCUUCCUUCCUUUAUCUACAUUUCUUCUUUUUUUCAUCUUGUCCAUCCUGAUAGAGUUCAAAAAGAGAAGAUAAAAAAACAAAAACAAUCCAACCACAAUAUUACAUUCCUAAACAGGAAGUCUCUCUGAAGAAAUAUUCAUUGAACAGCAUGAAUGUGCAUAAAAUGAUACACAGAAAGAAAGCAAGAAAGCAGUAGAAUAUCAUUCGGAGUUGGUCUGAAGAGAUCCCUUCUGCUGGAGUACCACAUUCCUGGUGAGGUUUCAGUGGCAUCACCUGGGUUCUGUAAGACCAACUGUGAAAUCUGACUCGGUCUGAAGGUAUAGAUCUUCACAAUAUGAGGUAAUGAGCUAGUGAGACUCAUGCACAUAGAGCAAGUGCUGUAUACAUGGAUUUAACCAGCUUUACGUCUCUUAUCAGCCGGCUUUUCACCUAAGUGGAACCUGCUUGAAAGCCUGACGUAGCCGUGCAUUGCUGGUAAUGAGGGUGUAUUGGUUUUUUAACGAGGACUGCAUAAAUAGAGACAAGGACGGCAGCCUUUGAGUCACAAAACAACAAGGGAUAAAGUGGAGCUCGGCGCAGACUAUGGAACCCAGUGGGAUUCACACACUGACAUGCUCACACUUCCACACACGAACACACACACACUUGCUUGUUCGAGUGUGGGAGCGGUUACAAGUGUGCAGAGAGAUGCACAGUGCAAACUCGCCUACGGGUGCUUGCUAAAGAUGUAGUUGAAUUCUCCUGCUGCCAAAUAAGACCCCGUUGGAUGGUUUCUAAACACACACACAUACACCACAAUACACACACACACACACACACACACACACACACACACACACACACACACACACACACACACACAUACACGCUAUGCGGUACUUCGUACAAAACUUGCAACAAGAAAAAAAAAUGUUCGGAAACAUGUGCUCUUAAAAAACAAGUCAAAGUGUGGCUGAGCGUCCCUUGCGAAUAAGGCCCUGUUGGGUUCUUGUAGAGAAUUCACGCCAGUGCCGAAGCCUGCUUCCAUCAGUCAACACUCCUGUGCACCUGGAAGGUUCAGAGACCCCAUUCACCGCAGCCACGACCUGUCCCUCGCAAUCGUGCUUUGACUCGUUUCUUCUGCCACACUUUUGAGAGCGCACACCUGGCCCAAACCACAUUUUACGCUUAAAUAAUCAGUUCGUUUGCACCGAUUUAAGUCCCCAAUGCCUGCACAAGGGGCCAGAUGCCCGGAUCAGCUUUUUGAGGACAUAGUUUGAAGUUUUUGCUAGCUUUGCUGCACUACUUUUCUCAUAAACUUGCUUAGGACAUAUUGUCCAUAGAGGACUUAUGGGAAAUCAGAAGCGUGCAAACCAGCGAGUGGGCGAAAACACUUUCAGACAUGUUCAGUCUUGUAAAGUGGAGGCCAAUCUCAUAAUACCCAAGCACAACUAUACUGAGUGACACUAAUGUGUUAAGUACACUUUGAAGAGCUAUCAAUAUACAUGCCUGUGUAUGUCAUAUGAUCACAAUGCCUGCUGUACUCAACAGAAACAUUGAAAUGCUCGAAGAUUGCAAUAAUCUCAAGUGGAAACAGAAACCGUUGAUAUUUUCAGCUUGGCUCUGGACUGAAUUGUAGGCGCUGCCAGCUGAAUCUCACUACUGCUAAUCACAGAAAAGGUCAGAGUAAAAAUAAGGUGUGGCGAUGUGCCAAUAUGGUGUCUAGUGGCAAGGCUUUAGGUGGCCUUUUUGCCUCUCGGUUAAAUUUACACACUGAGAUUAAUUGUGGCUUGUUUACUCAGGAUGGAAAGGUGCCGCUACAGAAUCCCGAGCAUUGCGCAACUUCUCCAGCCGCAGUGCUGUGGGCUAUGUCUUCGAGUUUAAUGGGGCCGUGAUAACUAUCAAAUGGACAUGGAUUACACACUAUAUCAUUAUACACACCAUUGAUUUUGCCCUUGCUUUGCCAGACAAGCAAUAUUAUAUGUCCAAAAUGACCUUGUACAGAAAUGCAAGCAGUGGUGUAGGUCCAAGACAGGCUUAGCAGUGUGUUCUGUGCAUACUAUUGCCAAGCCGUCUGAAACAUCAUUGGUAGACAUUGUACUGUAUGUUUUAAGGACCGCAAUAAGAAAUGAAUAGCGCUAUUAACAAAAAGGAAUAACUGAUGACUUUUGUGAGAGUAAGUGUUUUGACAUUAGAAAAAAAAAGCAGGCUUAUGAGCUGUUAGGUUUCACUUGUCAUCAAAACCGUUCAAUGCCAAGGAUCUCUAGAGUAUGUUAAUUCUUUGGCAGUCACUUAAUUACACAUUUUACUGCUUUGCUGUCACAAGUUAGGGUUAGAAGAGGUUUCGAGGGGAAGGUAGAGCAGAUGUUUUUGUCUUCAAUCCAAUAAGUUGCACUAAGAAUUCUUUGUAUGGAUUUAGGACACUGAUUUCUCUAUAACUGUAGACUAUAAGAUAUAAUUCAAUCAUGAAAUUAAUCAUUUUUAAUGCUGAAAAAUACAAAUAAUAAUACCUAUCCAUCAGUCUAUCCAAACAUUUUAUUUGGAUAUGACUGGAUGCCUUCAUUUGAUCAUCCAAAUAAGUCAUUUAAGAAUUCCUUUCUUUUCAUUGGAGGAAAUCUCUGAAAAUGCAUCACAUUUGUGAAAGACAUGUAUUUACAUAUUUAUUGAAUCCUCAUAAAUAAAAACUUAUGGUGGGUAUUUUUUCAUUCGUUACAUGGUACGGUAUUUAACUGACUGAAAGGACAACACGCUAGUAUAAGUGAUUACAGUUCAAUCGUUACUGACUGUGGCACUCGUGUUGAUUGCCCACAGAUGUAGUGUCUGAUGUACCAGUGUACCUUUUUGAACAAAAAUGCUGUCUCAUCUACACUGGGAGUUCUCUGGACACCAUUUGGGUUUGGUCCAGCUGUGUCUACAGAGAUGUAGGCCUAAUUGAUUUCUCUCGGCUGUGCCGGACUGAGUGCGGGAACAAUCUUGUGUCCUUCUCAGUGUACUUUAGGCUAUAGACAACCAGACACUGACAUACUGGCCUUUUAUCAAAUAUUUAGUGCUUUAAUACAGUACUUGACGUUGGUAUUUAUUACUAUUCCAAAGUAUUUAUAGAGUAUGUAAAGGUUUGGAUAUUUAUUAUAUUCAAAACUAAUGAGAUUUGUUUGAUCGCUAAGAUUUUUUGACUGAUAAAGAAGAAUUAGUUGUUUACAUUUACAUUUAUUCAUUUUGCAGACGCUUUAUUAUCCAAAGUGACUUACCAAUGAGGAAAUACAAGCAAAGCAAUAUAUCAAGUGGAAAACAAUACAAGUAGUGCUACAAUGCAAGAUUUUUUAAAUUGAGUUCUAGAAAAGCAAAGUGUGCAGAGUAGAGGUGUAAGUGCCAGAGUAACUUCUAUUUAUUUAUUAUUUAUU
ensembl:lncRNA